rnacentral:rRNA from 1 species
UGGGGAAUAUUGCACAAUGGGCGCAAGCCUGAUGCAGCCAUGCCGCGUGUAUGAAGAAGGCCUUCGGGUUGUAAAGUACUUUCAGCGGGGAGGAAGGCGAUAAGGUUAAUAACCUUGUCGAUUGACGUUACCCGCAGAAGAAGCACCGGCUAACUCCGUGCCAGCAGCCGCGGUAAUACGGAGGGUGCAAGGGUUAAUCGGAAUUACUGGGCGUAAAGCGCACGCAGGCGGUCUGUCAAGUCGGAUGUGAAAUCCCCGGGCUCAACCUGGGAACUGCAUCCGAAACUGGCAGGCUAGAGUCUUGUAGAGGGGGGUAGAAUUCCAGGUGUAGCGGUGAAAUGCGUAGAGAUCUGGAGGAAUACCGGUGGCGAAGGCGGCCCCCUGGACAAAGACUGACGCUCAGGUGCGAAAGCGUGGGGAGCAAACA